rnacentral:rRNA from 1 species
GCGCCUACACAUGCAAGUCGAACGAAGUAGCAAUACUUAGUGGCAGACGGGUGAGUAACAUGUAGGUAUCUGCCCUUUGGCCUGGAAUAACACGAGGAAACUUGUGCUAAUACCGGAUAAGUCUUUACGGAGAAAGCUUUAUGCACCAUUGGAUGAGCCUGCACUUGAUUAGUUUGUUGGUGGGGUAAUGGCCUACCAAGACUGUGAUCAAUAGCUGAUUUGAGAGGAUGAUCAGCCACAUUGGGACUGAGACACGGCCCAAACUCCUACGGGAGGCAGCAGUGGGGAAUCUUGCACAAUGGAGGAAACUCUGAUGCAGCGAUGCCGCGUGAGUGAAGAAGGCCCUUGGGUUGUAAAGCUCUUUCGUCGGGGAAGAAAAUGACUGUACCCGAAUAAGAAGGUCCGGCUAACUUCGUGCCAGCAGCCGCGGUAAUACGAAGGGACCUAGCGUAGUUCGGAAUUACUGGGCUUAAAGAGUUCGUAGGUGGUUGAAAAAGUUAGUGGUGAAAUCCCAGAGCUUAACUCUGGAACUGCCAUUAAAACUUUUCAGCUAGAGUAUGAUAGAGGAAAGCAGAAUUUCUAGUGUAGAGGUGAAAUUCGUAGAUAUUAGAAAGAAUACCAAUUGCGAAGGCAGCUUUCUGGAUCAUUACUGACACUGAGGAACGAAAGCAUGGGUAGCGAAGAGGAUUAGAUACCCUCGUAGUCCAUGCCGUAAACGAUGUGUGUUAGACGUUGGAAAUUUAUUUUCAGUGUCGCAGGGAAACCGAUAAACACACCGCCUGGGGAGUACGACCGCAAGGUUAAAACUCAAAUGAAUUGACGGGGACCCGCACAAGUAGUGGAGCAUGUGGUUUAAUUCGAAGAUACGCGCAGAACCUUACCAACACUUGACAUGUUCGUCGCGACUCUAAGAGAUUAGGCUUUUCAGUUCGGCUGGACGAAACACAGGUGCUGCAUGGCUGUCGUCAGCUCGUGUCGUGAGAUGUUGGGUUAAGUCCCGCAACGAGCGCAACCC